GGGCCAUAGCUCAGUGGUAGAGUAUUUGCUCUGCAGGCAGAGGGUUCCAGGUUCCAGGUUCGAUCCCUGCCAUUCCCA